rnacentral:rRNA from 1 species
UACGGAGGGUGCAAGCGUUAUCCGGAUUUACUGGGUUUAAAGGGUGCGUAGGUGGGUCUGUAAGUCAGUGGUGAAAUCUCCGAGCUUAACUCGGAAACUGCCAUUGAUACUAUAGGUCUUGAAUUAUCUGGAGGUGAGCGGAAUAUGUCAUGUAGCGGUGAAAUGCUUAGAUAUGACAUAGAACACCAAUUGCGAAGGCAGCUCACUACGGAUAUAUUGACACUGAGGCACGAAAGCGUGGGGAUCAAACAGG